rnacentral:rRNA from 1 species
CACGUAGGGUGCGAGCGUUGUCCGGAAUUAUUGGGCGUAAAGAGCUCGUAGGCGGUGUGUCGCGUCGGCCGUGAAAACCUGCAGCUUAACUGUGGGCUUGCGGUCGAUACGGGCAUCACUGGAGUUCGGCAGGGGAGACUGGAAUUCCUGGUGUAGCGGUGAAAUGCGUAGAUAUCUGGAGGAACACCGGUGGCGAAGGCGGCAUCCUGGACCGACACUGACG